rnacentral:snRNA from 1 species
AUCGCUUCUCGGCCUUUUGGCUAAGAUCAAGUGUAGUAUCUGUUCUUAUCAGUUUAAUAUCUGAUACGUCCCCUACCCGGGGACCAUAUAUUAAAUAGAUUUUUGGAACAGGGAGAUGGAAUAGGGGCUUGCUCCGUCCACUCCACGCAUCGACCUGGUAUUGCAGUAUCUCCAGGAACGUUGCACUCCCU